GACGAACGCUGGCGGCGUGCUUAACACAUGCAAGUCGAACGGAAAGGCCCUGCUUGCAGGGUACUCGAGUGGCGAACGGGUGAGUAACACGUGGGUGAUCUGCCCUGCACUUCGGGAUAAGCCUGGGAAACUGGGUCUAAUACCGGAUAGGAGCCAUUUUUAGUGUGAUGGUUGGAAAGUUUUUUCGGUGUAGGAUGAGCUCGCGGCCUAUCAGCUUGUUGGUGGGGUAAUGGCCUACCAAGGCGGCGACGGGUAGCCGGCCUGAGAGGGUGGACGGCCACAUUGGGACUGAGAGACGGCCCAGCCUCCUACGGGAGGCAGCAGUGGGGAAUAUUGCACAAUGGGCGCGAGCCUGAUGCAGCGACGCCGCGUGGGGGAUGACGGCCUUCGGGUUGUAAACUCCUUUCGCUAGGGACGAAGCUUUUUGUGACGGUACCUAGAUAAGAAGCACCGGCUAACUACGUG
rnacentral:rRNA from 1 species